GGGGCUUUAAGUUAAGCAAACUGUGGGCCUUCAAAGCCCAAAAUAAAGAUUUCUUUAAACCCCG
rnacentral:tRNA from 1 species